rnacentral:rRNA from 1 species
AAUAGAUACCCUGGUAGUCCACGCCGUAAACGAUGAUAACUAGCUGUCAGGGCUCUUGGAGCUUUGGUGGCGCAGCUAACGCGUUAAGUUAUCCGCCUGGGGAGUACGGCCGCAAGGUUAAAACUCAAAGAAAUUGACGGGGGCCUGCACAAGCGGUGGAGCAUGUGGUUUAAUUCGAGGCAACGCGCAGAACCUUACCAGCGUUUGACAUGGUAGGACGGUUUUCAGAGAUGAAUUCCUUCCCUUACGGGACCUACACACAGGUGCUGCAUGGCUGUCGUCAGCUCGUGUCGUGAGAUGUUGGGUUAAGUCCCGCAACGAGCGCAACCCUCGUCUUUAGUUGCCAUCAUUUAGUUGGGCACUCUAAAGAAACUGCCGGUGAUAAGCCGGAGGAAGGUGGGGAUGACGUCAAGUCCUCAUGGCCCUUACGCGCUGGGCUACACACGUGCUACAAUGGCGGUGACAAUGGGCAGCAAACCCGCGAGGGUGAGCUAAUCUCCAAAAGCCGUCUCAGUUCGGAUUGUUCU